AGCAGCGUAGCUCAGUGGAAAGAGCCAUGACCUGAGUCAGAGGUCAUGGGUUCGAAUCCCCACUCUGCCA
rnacentral:tRNA from 1 species